AUCCAGAUGACGAGUCCCAAAUAGGACGAAACGCGCGUUCUGGAU
rfam:Schistosoma mansoni, Puerto Rico, WGS project CABG01000000 data, contig: 0211